rnacentral:rRNA from 1 species
GACGAACGUUGGCGGCGUGCUUAAUACAUGCAAGUCAACUGAAGCAGUGGUAGCAAUAUCGCUGUGGAGGUGGCGCACGGGUGAGUAACACGUAGGUAAUCUGCCUUCAGGUCUGGCAUAACUCCGGGAAACCGGGGCUAAUAGCAGAUGAUGCAGCGGCUCGACAUCGAGACAGUUGUUAAAGCUAUGGCGCCUGAAGAUGAGCCUGCGUCUGAUUAGCUAGUUGGCGGGGUAACGGCCCACCAAGGCAACGAUCAGUAGCUGGUCUGAGAGGAUGAUCAGCCACACUGGAACUGAGACACGGCCCAGACUCCUACGGGAGGCAGCAGUAAGGAAUAUUGCUCAAUGGGAGAAAUCCUGAAGCAGCAACGCCGCGUGAGGGACGAAGGGCUUUUGCUUGUAAACCUCUGUAGUGAGAGAAAAAAAUCCCAAUCUUUGGGACAUGAUGGUAUCUCAAAAGUAAGCCCCGGCUAACUACGUG